UAGAGUUUGAUCCUGGCUCAGAAUCAACGCUGGCGGCGUGCCUAACACAUGCAAGUCGAGCGAGAAAGGGGCUUCGGCCCUGAGUAAAGCGGCGCACGGGUGAGUAACACGUGGGUAAUCUGCCCUAGAGUGGGGAAUAACACCGGGAAACCGGUGCUAAUACCGCAUACGAUCACGAUGUCUUCGGGUGUUGUGAUGAAAGGAGCAAUCCGCUCUUGGAGGAGCCCGCGGCUGAUUAGCUAGUUGGUGAGGUAAUGGCUCACCAAGGCUACGAUCAGUAUCCGGUCUGAGAGGACGGUCGGACACACUGGAACUGAGACACGGUCCAGACUCCUACGGGAGGCAGCAGUGGGGAAUUUUUCGCAAUGGGGGCAACCCUGACGAAGCAACGCCGCGUGGAUGAUGAAGUCUCUUGGGACGUAAAAUCCUU
rnacentral:rRNA from 1 species